rnacentral:rRNA from 1 species
GAUGAACGCUAGCGGCGUGCCUAAUACAUGCAAGUCGAGCGAACGGACGAGAAGCUUGCUUCUCUGAUGUUAGCGGCGGACGGGUGAGUAACACGUGGAUAACCUACCUAUAAGACUGGGAUAACUUCGGGAAACCGGAGCUAAUACCGGAUAAUAUUUUGAACCGCAUGGUUCAAAAGUGAAAGACGGUCUUGCUGUCACUUAUAGAUGGAUCCGCGCUGCAUUAGCUAGUUGGUAAGGUAACGGCUUACCAAGGCAACGAUGCAUAGCCGACCUGAGAGGGUGAUCGGCCACACUGGAACUGAGACACGGUCCAGACUCCUACGGGAGGCAGCAGUAGGGAAUCUUCCGCAAUGGGCGAAAGCCUGACGGAGCAACGCCGCGUGAGUGAUGAAGGUCUUCGGAUCGUAAAACUCUGUUAUUAGGGAAGAACAUAUGUGUAAGUAACUGUGCACAUCUUGACGGUACCUAAUCAGAAAGCCACGGCUAACUACGUGCCAGCAGCCGCGGUAAUACGUAGGUGGCAAGCGUUAUCCGGAAUUAUUGGGCGUAAAGCGCGCGUAGGCGGUUUUUUAAGUCUGAUGUGAAAGCCCACGGCUCAACCGUGGAGGGUCAUUGGAAACUGGAAAACUUGAGUGCAGAAGAGGAAAGUGGAAUUCCAUGUGUAGCGGUGAAAUGCGCAGAGAUAUGGAGGAACACCAGUGGCGAAGGCGACUUUCUGGUCUGUAACUGACGCUGAUGUGCGAAAGCGUGGGGAUCAAACAGGAUUAGAUACCCUGGUAGUCCACGCCGUAAACGAUGAGUGCUAAGUGUUAGGGGGUUUCCGCCCCUUAGUGCUGCAGCUAACGCAUUAAGCACUCCGCCUGGGGAGUACGACCGCAAGGUUGAAACUCAAAGGAAUUGACGGGGACCCGCACAAGCGGUGGAGCAUGUGGUUUAAUUCGAAGCAACGCGAAGAACCUUACCAAAUCUUGACAUCCUUUGACAACUCUAGAGAUAGAGCCUUCCCCUUCGGGGGACAAAGUGACAGGUGGUGCAUGGUUGUCGUCAGCUCGUGUCGUGAGAUGUUGGGUUAAGUCCCGCAACGAGCGCAACCCUUAAGCUUAGUUGCCAUCAUUAAGUUGGGCACUCUAAGAUGACUGCCGGUGACAAACCGGAGGAAGGUGGGGAUGACGUCAAAUCAUCAUGCCCCUUAUGAUUUGGGCUACACACGUGCUACAAUGGACAAUACAAAGGGCAGCGAAACCGCGAGGUCAAGCAAAUCCCAUAAAGUUGUUCUCAGUUCGGAUUGUAGUCUGCAACUCGACUACAUGAAGCUGGAAUCGCUAGUAAUCGUAGAUCAGCAUGCUACGGUGAAUACGUUCCCGGGUCU